UCCGUUCUGUGAGCUUUACUGAGGAAGUUGCAUUGCAUUGUGAUUGUCAAAUCAGCUUUAUACUUUUUGAAUUAUAUUUUUAUGGGUAAACACCCGAAUCUGAAAUAAUUCUGAUUAUAAGAUCUGGAUAUUCUCCAUAGCAGUCCACCAAAAUAUGGAUGUAUAACUGCCAGUAUCUUUAAAAAGAACUUCAAUCAAUAGUUUUUAUAAGGAACUCCCUAAAUAGAGUUCUUUUAAUUAUUU